UACGGAGGGUGCAAGCGUUAUCCGGAUUCACUGGGUUUUAAGGGUGCGUAGGUGGGCAGGUAAGUCAGUGGUGAAAUCUCUGGGCUUAACCCGGAAACUGCCAUUGAUACUAUCUGUCUUGAAUACCGUGGAGGUUAGCGGAAUAUGUCAUGUAGCGGUGAAAUGCUUAGAUAUGACAUAGAACAUCAAUUGCGAAGGCAGCUGGCUACACAAAUAUUGACACUGAUGCACGAAAGCGUGGGGAUCAAACAGG
rnacentral:rRNA from 1 species